GCCAGGCGUGGUGGUGUGCACCUGUAAUCCCAGCUACUCGGGAGGCUGAGGCGGGAGAGUUGCUUGAGCCUGGGAGGUCAAGGCUGCAGUGACCCAUGAUCACGCCACUGCACUCCAGCCUGGGCAAUGGAGCAAGAUCCUGUCUCAA
rnacentral:sRNA from 1 species